AUUGAACGCUGGCGGCAGGCCUAACACAUGCAAGUCGAGCGGAGAUGAGGUGCUUGCACCUUAUCUUAGCGGCGGACGGGUGAGUAAUGCUUAGGAAUCUGCCUAUUAGUGGGGGACAACAUUCCGAAAGGAAUGCUAAUACCGCAUACGUCCUACGGGAGAAAGCAGGGGAUCUUCGGACCUUGCGCUAAUAGAUGAGCCUAAGUCGGAUUAGCUAGUUGGUGGGGUAAAGGCCUACCAAGGCGACGAUCUGUAGCGGGUCUGAGAGGAUGGUCCGCGACACUGGGACUGAGACACGGCCCAGACUCCGACGGGAGGCAGCAGUGGGGAAUAGUGGACAAUGGGGGGAACCCUGAUCCAGCCAUGCCGGGUGUGUGAAGAAGGCCUUAUGGUUGUAAAGCACUUUAAGCGAGGAGGAGGCUACUGAGACUAAUACUCUGGGAUAGUGGACGUUACUCGCAGAAUAAGCACCGGCUAACUCUGUGCCAGCCGCCGCCGUAAGAC
rnacentral:rRNA from 1 species